AGAAAUCGACACCUAUGAUAUGAAAGAGACGCAAUUUGGAUUUUAUUCAUCAAAUCAUAGCGCCAUGAUCAAAUUUUGAGAACAGUUGCAACGGGGGGGGGGGGGUGGAUAAUUCCCCGUAAAUGUGCUCACGCCUACGUUUUUUUUUUGGGGGGGGGAGGGGGUGGGGGAGGCCUUGCUAACAAAUAUUCGGCGCCUUUUCGGCUCACAUCAAGUGGCGUUUCAUACUGUUUUGGAUCAGCUGCUGUCAGAGUUCGGCACGUGGGUUCGCCGGUAGAAUCACUGAACUCAUUUCUACCGCGGGAUUCAACCAGCUCAUCGUAACAUCGCAGCUCAGGUUCCCGCAAAGUACCCGCGCGAGUGGAUACCAACGGCCGCUAUACUGUCUACUGAGUCAGCUCAGGCUAGAACGAGGAACGUGAAGAUUGGCGAGAGUCAUGUCUUCAUCAGCACCAACUACCCGGAUGAGACUCCGUAGAAAGUGUGAGGCAGGUUCAUCGGGCAUCCAAGAUCCUCCAGCAGAGACCAGUGGAUCUUCAGGAACUUCAUCCAGGAAUGAAUCCAAGAGAGCGCCGUCAAAAAGGGGGAAGCAGGCUGCAGUUGAAACCAAGACAACAAUGACAACAAGACGUCGGGGAAAGAAGGCGAUUGCAGAAGAUAUUGAUGCAGCAGAAGGCAAGAAUGAGGCCUCAUCGUCCAAAGCCAAAGGAGAGAAGAAAGGAAGGAAGAGGGGUGGGGCCAGGGUAGUGGAAGAUCUGCAGAAUGACAAGCCUGAUUUAAUGACAGAAGAGCCCAUGGAUACACGGAGCGAUCCAUCCAGUGAUGAGUUUCAGGCAAAUGCAGAACUGUUGCCACCAGAAGCUAAGAUGGAUUCGCAAGGGAAACGUCAAGGAAAAGGACAAGGUGGGAAGACAAGUGCAUCUGAGAGCAGCAUUUCCCAUCAAAAAGAUCCAAAGGAAAAGGUUUCAACUAGGGCAGGAAGGUCAAAAAUAGCACUAAAAGUUGCCAAAGUGGAUCCACAACCAUUCUUAGAGGAGAGGGAUACUGUUGAAAAUAAACUGCCAGUCAAACGACAGAGAAGAAUUAAAGCAACCGUGACAGAUGUUAAGGAGGAAAAGGAUCAGGAGUCGAAUGAUGCUGAAUCAAAAGUAGAAAUGACAGCCAAGAAUGGACAGCAAAAGAAAUCCACCAAGGGCAAGGGAAAGAAAGCUACAUCCAAGUCAAAAUCUGCAAGCUUAGAUGAUAAUGAUGUUAAAACUGAAUCCUUGGUUGAACACUCUAAGAUUGUGGCAGUUGCAGAUAAUGGUGUCCUCACUACUUAUGAGAAGUGUGUUGGAGCUCAUUGCAGUAUUGCAGGUGGUUUAUGGAAAGCAGUCAAUGAUGCUGUGACCAUCGGCGCAAAAUCCUUUGCCCUCUUCCUCCGCUCCCAACGUCAGUGGCAGGCCAAGCCCUUGGAGGAUGAUAAUGCUGCAAAGUUCCGGGAAGCUUGUACCAAACAUGGUUACCCUCCUCACCUGAUUCUACCCCAUGGAUCCUAUCUGUUGAACUGUGGCUCUCCAAAUCCUGCAACAUUGUCCAAGAGCAGAGACUCCUUGGUGGAUGAGUUGACUCGAUGUCAGAAGCUUGGGCUUACCCUCUACAACUUCCAUCCAGGAUCAACUUGUGGAGACAUCUCAAUUGAAGAAUGUCUAGAUAAGAUAGGUGAAAGCAUCAAUCUAGCCCUUGACAAGACAUCUGGAGUUACUGCAGUGAUAGAGAACAUGAGUCGUCAAGGUCAUACCAUCGGUGGUCAAUUUGAGGAGCUACGAGGAAUCAUUGAUCGGGUCAAAGAUAAAAGCAGGAUAGGAGUAUGUCUGGAUACGUGCCAUGCGUUUGCAGCAGGAUAUGAACUCUCGACAGAAUCUGGUUUUAAGAAAAUGAUGGCAGACUUUGAGAAGAUCAUUGGCUUCCAGUACCUGAAAGGUGUCCAUCUCAAUGAUUCUAAAGGAGAGGUAGGUUGUCAUCUAGAUCGUCAUGAGAACAUAGGCAAAGGAAACAUUGGGUUGGAGGGAUUCAAACGAGUAAUGAAUGAUCCACGUUUUAAUAACAUUCCUCUCAUCUUGGAAACACCCAUCGAAUACGGGUAUGCUGAAGAGAUCAAGACGUUGUAUUCACUCGUCGAUUAAAUGGAGCCCAAUCGUUGGCUGAAAAUUAUGGUAUGUUGUUUGUUAGAUUUCCAAAUACAUCCUCCUUGUGCUAAUGUUUCAUAAACUGCACAAUGCUCUCUAACCUGCAUUACAGCAUACUUUAUUUGAAGCAUGAAUUGAAUUAUUAGGGAGCUCUCAUAACCACUAGGAUGGGAGGUGGAUGGUCAUGUCGUACUGUAAAAUUAUCUCUCAUGGAGUUUUGGGAGGUUUGGUCUGCCAUUGUAUUCUAGAAUCAGAUUUUUCCACUGAAACAGUAGUAUUAUCACACCCUAAAAGGGGAUAUCCAACUUUUUAGCAGUUAUCUUUUAAUGAAAGCAGUAAAUGAGAGAAAUAUACAUAUAAAGAUUAGAAAAAUUCUACAAGGCAUAAAACAGUUAUGUAUUCAAUUUGCCGUGACAUUGUUCUACAUGAAUGUUUGGUACUAUAAUCCACUGUUCUUUUAGAGAAACUGAAACAUUUUACCUUUGUAUCAAACAAAUAUUCUUUAAGACACAAUCAUACUAUCUUCUUCAUUCAUCAUGAACCAUUUAUAAUUUACAAUGUAUGCAAUGUAUAGUAAAAGCAGCUUACAAAUUAUGUGUGUCACGGCACUGAAUAAGUGCAAAGAAACUCAACCGUUGUCUUGAUAAAUUUUCCUCAAACGUUCAUUGAUGUUUCUAUCAUUUUAGUGCUUGUAUCUGAACAACCUUUAUUUGUGUCAGAUUUUCCUUUUCAUCUUGAUGCCAAAGCAAAGUACCAUGCAAGUAUGUAUUUCGAGUGUCAGUUGCAAUUGUGGAAAAUUAUCUGUGGCGUGGGCGCUGUAACACAUUUGUACAAUUUGAUUGUAAAAAUCACAAUGUAGAAUCAGUUGUAAAAAGCAAUUGUAUGCUCGGUCAUUGAAAAUUUUUGUUAAAGGACCCCGAGCAUGUUUGACCUCAAGGUGUUUAAUUUGAGUAUAAUCUUCGUUGAGAAUGUAAUUCUUAGAACAAUGACAUAGAAAUCUAAUUUUCAAUAGCAAGUUUCGCAUAUUAUUGGUCGCCCAUUCAUGGUUGACCUAGAUAUUUGAGUAUAACAUUUAAUUUUACAAUAUGACAUAAUUAAUACUGAGCAAAGUGCUUUGUAGUUGGUGCGUAUGAUAUACCAAGCAUAUAUUUCACUACAAUUGUGCAAAAAGGAAAUCUCAAUUAGCAACAUAGGGUUGUGCAGUCAAUACAUGGGCAGCAAAGGUGCCCAAAGUAGGCUGAAGUGUCUCACCGAUUUCUUGGCAGUGAGUGUUUUGAAUUGGAGGCUAUCGGGCAUUGUUUCAGUAUCAAGUGUCCUUUUUUAAACAUGUUUUUUGUUGUUUUUGGCUUCUCACAUCUAAUUUCAGUUAUAAAAGGCAUAGCUUGUGUUUUGAUCCAGUGUAGCUAAGCCAUGAGAAGUGUUUAAUUUUUAGGCGCCGUUUUUCCAGCGGUGGCGUCGUCAAUAUCAAAUCUUCUACCGAAGGUUAAGUUUGUGAAAUGUCACUUUAACUUAGAAAGUAUAUGGAAUUAGUUCAUAAAACUUGGACAUAAGGGUACCGGUAAUCAAGUAUUACUGAACAUCCUGCCUGAAUUUCAGGUCACAUGACCAAGGUCAAAGGUCAUUUAGGGUCAAUGAACUUUGGCCAUGUUGGGGUAUUGUUGAUUUCCAUCAUAACUUUGAAAGUUUAUGGAUCUGGUUCAUGAAACUUGGACAAAAGAGUAAUCAAGUAUCAGUGAACAUCCUUUGAGAUUCAGGUCACAUGACCUAGGCCAAAGGUCAUUUAGGGUCAAUUAACUUAGAUUAUGUUGGGGAAAUCAAAACAAAAUCUUAACCAAGGUUAAGUUUUUUAAAUGUCAUAACUCUGAAAGUAUAUGGAUCUAGUUCAUGAAACUUGGACAUAAGAGUAAUUAAAGUAUCAGUGAACAACCUGCAUGAGUUUCAGGUCACAUGACCACUAAGGUCAAAUGAACUUUGGCCGUGUUGGGGGUAUUUGUUGAAUUGCGAUCAUAACUUUGAAAUUUUAUGGAUCUAGUUCAUGAAAUGUGGACAUAUGGGUAAUCAAGUAUCACUGAUUGUCUUGCACAAAUCUUUGGUCUCACGAUCAAGGUCAAAUGUCAUUUAGUGUCAUAAUAUGAAUGUUGUUUUUUUGUGAAUGAUUCUUUGAUAGUUGUUUUCAAAGUCAGCACUGCUGCUAUAUUGAAUCGUGUACAGGCUAGACUGCCGGAGGCGCUCCAAUUGUAUUACUUAAUUCAUGCCAAGGAAAGUGUUCAAACAAGCAUUGCAUGAUCAGGUUUAGAAUGCCAAUGUUUGUGUAAAGGUUACAUGCUUUCACUGCCAUAUCAAAAUGGCAUCGACUGAAUGAUAGAAGCAUUUACAAAAAAAAAAAAAUUUGUGAUAAAUAUGUUAUAUAUGUUUGAAAACCUAUUUUGAUGAUAGUUGAUAGUUUUGUGUUGAUGUUAUUUCAUGAAUAUAUAGACUUUCUCAAGCUUCUUGAUCAGUUACAAAGUGACUGGCUUGAGAAAGUCCUCAGGAGUGGACAAAAGCUUGCCCCAAAUAAUCAUUAAGGUUGGUUGAAGCUUAAAGAUUAUCAUCCCCAUUUGAUGAAAGUUUUCUGUAUUAGAGUUGUACUAUGUUGUGAAAGUAUGAUUUUGUUGGGUUAGUUUUUGUGUGCUUUCAGAUAAACUAUUGCCAUUUAUAGUGCCAAAGAAGAAAUAGAAAACAUAUCUGAUGUAUCAAGUGUAUUGAAUGUUUUUUGUUGUAAAUUUUAUAAAGGAGUACAAUAUGAUAUUCUUCUAUUAUGUAGGCAGGUUUUGUGAUUUAUUCAAGUUUUGGAAGCAUUUGUGAUGACUCAGUUGUGCACCAAUACACAGCGACGAUGAGUAUUUUCUAAAGCCUCUGUUCAUGUUUAGAAUCACACAAUAUUGCAGUUCUUUUACUUAAUAGCUGAAAGAAAAUUUGGGGCAAUUAAAGACCUUCAUUUCUAUGUCUAAACAAAUAUAUUGUAUCUACUUUUCAGAAAUACAGAGUUUCCUUACAGUCAAGUUUGUCACUUAUGGAACAUAGAUUAUACAAGUGUCUGUAGAUAUGACUACCCAACUCAAAUCCAUCAAACUCUUGAUUUUCACAAUUGAUUGUUGAUGUUUUUGUCAAUGCAAUGCAUCAUAAAAAAUAUUUUACAGUCAUUGCUAAACUUUGUGACUCAGGGCACAUCUUGAUGGAGUGUUAACUACCUUGACAACAGUGAAUAUUCUGCUUCCUGAUUGGCUUUUCAAAUUAAAGUUGACAUUCCAGCAAGAGUUGCUAUCAUAUCAUCUUUUUAUGAAAUGGGGCCCUGAUGACUACUUUGGUGACUUAUUGUGGUUUUUGAGCUGGGUGGUCAUUCUUAUGUAACUUUUCUAUUUUUCUAUUUUUUGUUAUUUUGACCAUUUUCUACUAUUAUCAAUUACGAAGCGAUGAUCACUUAAAUAAUGAAUCUAGUCAUCAUGUAUUAUAAUUCAAUAUAGAUGUAUUCAGAACAUUUAUUGUACAAUAAUAACAUUGAUAAUAAUUAUACCACAGAUUGUAUGACAAAAUACAAAUUUAUGUACAACUUUGAAAGAGCAAUUUGGGACGGACUCUGGAAUACAUUAACGCAAUUUUCAUCUUCACUCAUUUUAUCAUGUCAGAACCUAAACAUUCCCCAAGGUAUAAUACAUGUAAUGUCACUUUCCACCAGAUCUAUAACAGAGAUUUCUCCUCACCAACUUGUGUACCUUAUACAGUCAUAAAUAAAUAAGGUGCCUUAUAAACAUACAUGUUUCAAGCUGCUCUUUCAGAAUUAUCAGUAUUACCUGUACAGUUAUGUAUUUGUGUUUGAUACCAUUUUCAAAAUGGUAGUAACACGUUGUGUUCUUUUCCCCCAUGGUGUUGAAAGAUUAAAUGUUAUCCUUGUAUUUCUAUGAGAACUGCAUGUUUGUUAGACAGCUGAACAAGAAAAUCAAGAGUUCAAAUAAAGUUAUUAUUUUGUA